CGGGGCGUAGCUCAGCUUGGUUAGAGUGCUUCACUGGGGGUGAAGAGGUCGCUGGUUCGAAUCCAGUCGCCCCGA
rnacentral:tRNA from 1 species